rnacentral:rRNA from 1 species
CCAAUAGCGUAUAUUAAAGUUGUUGCAGUUAAAAAGCUCGUAGUUGAACUUCGGGAUCAAUUAGUUGGUCAUGCCUUGGUAUGUACUGAUUUUAUUGGUUCUCACCUUCUAAAGAACCAUAAUGUCAUUUAUUUGAUGUUAUGGGGAAUUAGGACUGUUACCUUGAAAAAAUUAGAGUGUUUAAAGCAGGCUCACGCUUGAAUACAUUAGCAUGGAAUAAUGAAAUAGGACAUCGCAUUCUAUUUUGUUGGUUUCUAGGAUCGAUGUAAUGAUUAAUAGGGAUAGUUGGGGGCAUUAGUAUUCAAUUGUCAGAGGUGAAAUUCUUGGAUUUAUUGAAGACUAACUACUGCGAAAGCAUUUGCCAAGGAUGUUUUCAUUAAUCAAGAACGAAAGUUAGGGGAUCGAAGACGAUCAGAUACCGUCGUAGUCUUAACCAUAAACUAUGCCGACUAGGGAUCGGAUGAUGUUGAUUUUUUAAUGACUCAUUCGGCACCUUACG